CAGAGCUGACGUUGCUGUGGCUGUGGCAUAGCCCAGUGACUACAGCUCCACUUCAACCCCUUACCUGGGAACUUCCAUAUGCCACGGGUGUGGCCCUAAAAAAAAGACAAAAAAAAAAAAGAAUAAUUAUUUUGAUAUCAUUACCACUCCUAUUAUUUAUUUCAAGGUUGCAGAAGUGGAACUAGUUCAAUAUUUAAUAAUCCAACAUUUUAUAUGUAUUCUAUAAUAUUAUACUUGAGUAUGGGUUUUAGAUGCUCUGUGUUCUUUCUGGGACAAUUUAAAUCUGUGCUUCACUGUUUUACAUGAAAUUGUGUAUGUGUUAUAAAUCUUUUAUUUGGGUUUUGGAAGUUUUAAUAAUUGGCAUAUCAUGGAAAUAUUUUUGUUACAUUUUAAAUUAUGAUAUAUAAACAUACAGAAAAGCAAGAUGAAACAUAUUAAUCAUAUUACCAUAUAUAUUUGAGAUUACUGAAUAUUCCAUCAAUUUGCAGAACAUAAUUUAAGUACCAUUUGCAACAAUAUGUACAAGUGACUAAAAUCCAACAAAAGACAUGUAGGAAAAAAUUAUACAACUUUAUUGAAAAACCUAAGAGCUAACUAAAUGGAGAGGUACUAUACUUUUGAAUGGGAAAGCCUAAGAAUAGAAAUUCUCCCCAAAUAAAUCUGAUAAGUUCAGUAAUACAAUUCUGAUCAAAAUCUCAAGUAGUAAUUUUUACAGUAUCAGACACUCUCAUUUUAAAAUUGAUAUUCAAGCUUGAGGGGCAAAAGAGUCAAAUGAUUCUGAAGAACAAUUUAGGUGAACUUAUCCACCACAUAUGAAGAUUUAUACUCUGCCACAGAAAGCAGUAGUAGUUAAGUACUGCGAUAAUGACCCCAGUAAACAAACUAACUACCUUAUCACCCUUGUUUCUUAACUCCUCUUUGUGUACAACUACAAGCUGGCCAAACUGAACUAUACAUGCCAACAUUCAUGCCUUGGGAAUUCUAGUCCUAUGCCUUUGGUGUUUCUGCUGUCUACAGAAUUCCCUUCAUCCUUGUCUCCUGUACUUCACUGAACCUAAGGUGCAUUAUUAUUUAUGUACAAGAAAAAAUGUUGCCAUUUAAGUUGCCACGUCAUCACUGCCGGAUACCUUGUGUUUCAGAGAUCAUGGAGUUCCCGUCGUGGCGCAGUGGUUAACGAAUCCGACUAGGAACCAUGAGGUUGCGGGUUCGGUCCCUGCCCUUGCUCAGUGGGUUAAUGAUCUGGCGUUGCCGUGAGCUGUGGUGUAGGUUGCAGACGCGGCUCGGAUCCCGCGUUGCUGUGGCUCUGGCGUAGGCCUGUGCCUCAGCUCCGAUUAGACCCCUAGCCUGGGAACCUCCAUAUGCCGCGGGAGCGGCCCAAAGAAAUAGC
rnacentral:lncRNA from 1 species